rnacentral:rRNA from 1 species
UACGUAGGGUGCGAGCGUUAAUCGGAAUUACUGGGCGUAAAGCGUGCGCAGGCGGUUCGUUGUGUCGGCGGUGAAAGCCCCGGGCUUAACCUGGGAAUGGCCGUUGAAACUGGCGAACUGGAGUGUGGCAGAGGGGGGUGGAAUUCCGCGUGUAGCAGUGAAAUGCGUAGAGAUGCGGAGGAACACCGGUGGCGAAGGCAGCCCCCUGGGCUAACACUGACGCUCAGGCACGAAAGCGUGGGGAGCAAACAGG